AUUUGGAAAUUUAAAAUCCCAGUCCUCACCGGGAUUCGAAUCCAUGACCCUUCGGUUCGGAAUCCAAGCGCUUCGAUUUCCAUGUUUGGAAGGAAAUAAAAUAGAUGACAGGCUGAGAUUCACUUUAAUUUGGAGAACAAAUAAAUACGAUUCCGAGAUUAUUACCGUUACAUCGUAAAGAGGCCUUUCUACUACGUAGAAAUUAUUUAGGAAAAUUGCCAGGCCCCGCAAGGUAUGGAACUUUAAUCGUGCUUUGAUUUAGAAACUUAAAAGAAUCUUCUUUUACACUAGGGAUUCUUCAGAACUUUGA